rnacentral:rRNA from 1 species
GAUGAACGCUGGCGGCGUGCCUAAUACAUGCAAGUCGAGCGAACGGACGAGAAGCUUGCUUCUCUGAUGUUAGCGGCGGACGGGUGAGUAACACGUGGAUAACCUACCUAUAAGACUGGGAUAACUUCGGGAAACCGGAGCUAAUACCGGAUAAUAUUUUGAACCGCAUGGUUCAAAAGUGAAAGACGGUCUUGCUGUCACUUAUAGAUGGAUCCGCGCUGCAUUAGCUAGUUGAUAAGGUAACGGCUUACCAAGGCAACGAUGCAUAGCCGACCUGAGAGGGUGAUCGGCCACACUGGAACUGAGACACGGUCCAGACUCCUACGGGAGGCAGCAGUAGGGAAUCUUCCGAAAUGGGCGAAAGCCUGACGGAGCAACGCCGCGUGAGUGAUGAAGGUCUUCGGAUCGUAAAACUCUGUUAUUAGGGAAGAACAUAUGUGUAAGUAACUGUGCACAUCUUGACGGUACCUAAUCAGAAAGCCACGGCUAACUACG